AUUCCCUCCAAGAUUUCCCUCAUUUUUCUUCUUCUCAAUCGCGCUCAUCUCUCUCUGUCUCUCUCUCUCUCAAUCGUUUUGUAUUUUGUUUCCCUUUGAAUUUCAGCCUCUUUUUCUCUCUCUCAUUUGUUGCAUAACCCUAACCCAACCCGUCUUUGAGAGAGAUGCAGAGACGAAACGACAUAGAGAUGUAGGCGAUGUGACUCCGGUAGACGACUCCGGCAGCUAGGCGAGGGGAGGUGACAGCGAGGCAAGGGAAGGCGGCGACCGACAAGGUUUUGUGGAUCUUGUAAUCGAGUUUGAUCUUAAGGUGACUCUUCUCAAAGGCCUUAGCUAGGAAUUGACGGGCAGAUUCGAGAUUUGAUAUAGAUAUGUUUGGUAAUUUGAAGGGCAGAUGGUAGCUCAUUUUGCGUUUUUGUUCAUAUUACCUUCCAUGUAUUUUGGUUGCAUUGUAAAUUUUCUAUUUUUGUUAGUAUUACAGGGCAUGUUGGGUAAUCCGCCCUUGAUAUUUUAUUUUUUUUGAUAUUAGUAGACAUGUUUUUUGUUGGAUAUUAGGAGAUGUGUUUGGUAAUCCGCAUGCGGUUGAUAUUAUAUUUUUGUGGAUAUUAGUAGAUGUUUUUUGUGGA